AACGCUAGCUACAGGCUUAACACAUGCAAGUCGAGGGGCAGCAUGAACUUAGCUUGCUAAGUUUGAUGGCGACCGGCGCACGGGUGAGUAACGCGUAUCCAACCUGCCCACCACUUGGGGAUAACCUUGCGAAAGUAAGACUAAUACCCAAUGAUAUCUCAAGAAGACAUCUGAAAGAGAUUAAAGAUUUAUCGGUGAUGGAUGGGGAUGCGUCUGAUUAGCUUGUUGGCGGGGUAACGGCCCACCAAGGCGACGAUCAGUAGGGGUUCUGAGAGGAAGGUCCCCCACAUUGGAACUGAGACACGGUCCAAACUCCUACGGGAGGCAGCAGUGAGGAAUAUUGGUCAAUGGGCGAGAGCCUGAACCAGCCAAGUAGCGUGCAGGAUGACGGCCCUAUGGGUUGUAAACUGCUUUUAUAAGGGAAUAAAGUGAGCCUCGUGAGGCUUUUUGCAUGUACCUUAUGAAUAAGGACCGGCUAAUUCCGUGCCAGCAGCCGCGGUAAUACGGAAGGUCCGGGCGUUAUCCGGAUUUAUUGGGUUUAAAGGGAGCGUAGGCCGGAGAUUAAGCGUGUUGUGAAAUGUAGAUGCUCAACAUCUGCACUGCAGCGCGAACUGGUUUCCUUGAGUACGCACAAAGUGGGCGGAAUUCGUGGUGUAGCGGUGAAAUGCUUAGAUAUCACGAAGAACUCCGAUUG
rnacentral:rRNA from 1 species